rnacentral:rRNA from 1 species
UACAGAGGGGGCGAGCGUUAUUCGGAAUUAUUGGGCGUAAAGGGCGCGUAGGCGGCUUGAUGUGUCAAAGGUGAAAUCCCUCGGCUCAACUGAGGAACUGCCUUUGAAACUGUCUGGCUUGAGGCCGGGAGAGGGUAGCGGAAUUCCCAGUGUAGCGGUGAAAUGCGUAGAUACUGGGAGGGACACCGGUGGCGAAGGCGGCUACCUGGACCGGUUCUGACGCUGAUGCGCGAAAGCGUGGGUAGCAAACAGG